rnacentral:rRNA from 1 species
UCCUACGGGGGGCAGCAGUGGGGGAUAUUGCACAAUGGGGGGAACCCUGAUGCAGCGACGCCGCGUGGGUGAAGAAGCGCCUCGGCGCGUAAAGCCCUGUCAGCAGGGAAGAAAAUGGCGGUACCUGAAGAAGAAGCCCCGGCUAACUACGUGCCAGCAGCCGCGGUAAUACGUAGGGGGCAAGCGUUAUCCGGAUUUACUGGGUGUAAAGGGGGCGCAGACGGCGAUGCAAGCCAGGAGUGAAAGCCCGGGGCCCAACCCCGGGACUGCUCUUGGAACUGCGUGGCUGGAGUGCAGGAGGGGCG